GCACGACAGUGAAGAUUAGCAUGGUCCCUGCACAGGGAUGACACACAAAUUUACAAAGCAUUUCAUAUUUUU
rnacentral:snRNA from 1 species